rnacentral:piRNA from 1 species
UGUUAUGAGAGGCCUUGAGGAGUUCC